AGUUGAUCCUGGCUCAGGACGAACGCUGGCGGCGUGCUUAACACAUGCAAGUCGAGCGAUGAAGUCUCUUCGGAGACGGAUUAGCGGCGGACGGGUGAGUAACACGUGGGUAACCUGCCUCAUAGAGGGGAAUAGCCUUCCGAAAGGAAGAUUAAUACCGCAUAAGAUUGUAGUUUCGCAUGAAACAGCAAAUUAAAGGAGUAAUCCGCUAUGAGAUGGACCCGCGUCGCAUUAGCUAGUUGGUGAGGUAACGGCUCACCAAGGCGACGAUGCGUAGCCGACCUGAGGAGGGUGAGUCGGCCACAGUUGGGACUGAGACACCGGCCCAGACUCCGUACGGGAGGCAGCAGGUGGGGAAUAUUGCACAAGUGGGGGAAACCCUGAUGCAAAACCAACGCCGCGUGAGUGAUGACGGUCUUCGGAUUGUAAAGCUCUGUCUUCAGGGACGAUAAUGACGGUACCUGAGGAGGAAGCCACGGCUAACUACGUGCCAGCCGCGGC
rnacentral:rRNA from 1 species